rnacentral:sRNA from 1 species
GCCAGGCAUGGUGGAGCAUGCCUGUAAUCCCAGUGGGUCCGGAGGCUGAGGCAGGAGGAUCUCAAGUUCAAAGCCAACUUAGUGAGGCCCUAACUAAGCAAAACUCAUUGAGACUCUGUCUCUA